rnacentral:lncRNA from 1 species
GGAGAGCCACAACCAAUCAACAAGCAUUUACUGCGUUACUACCAGGUGCCAAGCACCAGGAAAUCAAAUCAAAAUGAAAGUUUUCUUCUCUUAAGGAGUUUACAUCUUCUUUGGGGAGACAAAAUCACAUUAGGUGACUUUAUGCCAGGCCCCGGCCGCAUUCCCUUCCACUCUUCUACAAGGACUUCUGACCCUGCCUAAUCUCGGCUUCCAGAGCUCCUGCCCCUUGAUGUGCAGGUGCACCAGAGUUCCAGACUCAUUGAGACAGAUGUGCCAAACAUAUGGAUGACAAGAGAUUUUUUUCCCAGAAAUGAUAACCACAUGAAAGUUCUCAGAGUGUUCUUCUUUCCUCUCUGACUUUUUAACCAAAGAGAAUACAAAUCAUCAGGGCUA